rnacentral:rRNA from 1 species
UACAGAGGUCCCGAGCGUUGUUCGGAUUCACUGGGCGUAAAGGGUGCGUAGGUGGCCAGGUAAGUUUGGUGUGAAAGCUCGGAGCUUAACUCCGAAAAGUCAUUGAAUACUAUCUGGCUGGAGGGUCGGAGGGGAGACUGGAAUUCUCGGUGUAGCAGUGAAAUGCGUAGAUAUCAAGAGGAACACCAGUGGCGAAGGCGGGUCUCUGGGCCGAUACUGACACUGAGGAGCGAAAGCGUGGGGAGCGAACAGG